UGGGGAAUAUUGCACAAUGGGCGCAAGCCUGAUGCAGCCAUGCCGCGUGUAUGAAGAAGGCCUUCGGGUUGUAAAGUACUUUCAGUCGGGAGGAAGGUGUCAAGGUUAAUAACCUUGGCAAUUGACGUUACCGACAGAAGAAGCAGCGGCUAACUCCGUGCCAGCAGCCGCGGUAAUACGGAGGGUGCAAGCGUUAAUCGGAAUUACUGGGCGUAAAGCGCACGCAGGCGGUUGAUUGAGUCAGAUGUGAAAUCCCCGGGCUUAACCCGGGAAUUGCAUCUGAUACUGGUCAGCUAGAGUCUUGUAGAGGGGGGUAGAAUUCCAUGUGUAGCGGUGAAAUGCGUAGAGAUGUGGAGGAAUACCGGUGGCGAAGGCGGCCCCCUGGACAAAGACUGACGCUCAGGUGCGAAAGCGUGGGGAGCAAACAGG
rnacentral:rRNA from 1 species